CGCCGCUAUCUUUCUUCCCCUCGGGAUCCAUCCCCACCAACCGCAACCUCCAACCAGAUCCCUGGUUUUCCACGCAGCCGCCCGAGCAUCUCGAUCCCGAGUGGAUCGAGCGCUUCACCUCCAAGUCCAGCCUCCCCUGCUCAUGCCCCGAGCCUCUCGUCGUCCAGGAGCAUGAGCUCCCUCGCCUCACUGCCACGCCAACCGGAGAAGCAGCUCAGCCGACCAUCCCCAUCGUUGCCGAACCUCGCCACCUCGCCGUAGCCCCAAGACCCCGCGUCAAGCCCCUCUGUUGUGUCGCCCGCCUACGACCUCCUCUGCUUCGAGCUCGACCUCACCCUGCCUCGACCUCCACAGCCACUUCGCUGGGCCUCCACAUCUUCUCCCGUGCUCCCUCCGUCGUGGCCACCCGUCCAUGGAGCUCCACUUCCGAGAGAGAGGAAGCUGCAGCCCUGGCCUGAGCAGGCCAGCGUCUCCACCAGCGACCACGCCACCCGGACCUUGCGGCCUCAGCCCCUCGCCGCCUCGCACCGGCCUCGCGUUGCCCUACCCGCAGCCAAGCUACCGCCACCGGUGAUGCCUCUGCUUUCCGCCUCUGCAUCGAGCAGUACUGGAGCCGGUCGCGCCCGUUGACCGCAUCGCCCUGCCUCUGCAUCUCGUCGCGAGGAGGAGGAUGAGCGCUGACCUCGCCGGCUUGAUCUCCUUCCUCCUUCACCCGCGCGUCGCCAAGGCCCAGUGCAGGCCGCCUCCGUCGUCUUCUGUUCGGGAACGAACUCAGCCCAUGCGUCCUCUGCAUCGCAGCCGCGCCAAGGCCUAUGCUUCUUCUGUGUUGACUGUGUCUUCCCCCAUGUGCCCGCUCGAUCCUGCCAGCACCCUAACAGCCAGCCUCCUCCACCAACGGUCUGAAUCCCAUGGUUCCAGUUUUGUUGCGAUUGUGAGGAUCCGUUCGACUACGCCCGUUCGUCUUCUUCACAGAUUCGGUCUUCUUCCUAGCAG